UCCGGCUUAACGCCGGCAGUCUCCGGUGAGAAAUAUAACACCGGAUGAGGGUUUCGCUCGUUUACGGACUUAACCGUACAUCUCACGACACGAGCUGACGGCGACCGUGCAACACCUGUCUUAGGGUUCCUUACGGCACUCCCCUGUUUCCAGGGGAUUCCCUAGAUGUCAAACCUGGGUGAGGUGCCCCGCUUGUCGUCGAAUUAAACCACAUGCUCCACCGCUUGUGCGAGCCCCCGUCAAUUCCUUUGAGUUUUAGUCUUGCGACCGUACUUCCCAGGCGGCAGACUUAACGCGUUAGCUUCGGCACAAGGAGGGUCGAUACUCCCAAUGCCUAGUCUGCAUCGUUUACGGCGUGGACUAC
rnacentral:misc_RNA from 1 species